rnacentral:lncRNA from 12 species
CCCAUCCUGCUGCUGAGUCCCCCCUGAGACUGCACCUGGCCUUGUUCUCUGAAUUCUGAGACAGAAUGCUCACUGUUCGUGUUCCCUUGACAGUAAACUGCAGACCGGACUCAGUGUCGUCAGGUGUGUUGGAGAAGUAAGGAAAGGAAAUGGAGUUUAUAAACACAUCCUUCUCUGUGAGGAGCGCUGCCCAAACCCCACUGUGGGCCUCAUUCCAACCGUGUUUUGAUUUUGGGCUUUCAAGUGAGCAGAAAAGAUUUGCCAGUGGACAUCAGACACCCUGCAGAUGCCCCCCAUCCCCGAGCCAUUGCAGGCAGCCAAGCGCAGAGCAGUACCUUCAGAGAACCUACAGAGGCAUCCAGUCCUCCAUCUGCAAGGGCUUUUCUAUACACACUUCUGCCUAAGGAUGGAAACAGACCCCUUCUCGCACCUGGGCUGAGUGCUGUGUCAGUGACCAGUGCAUGGAUCCAGUAAAGGCAACCAAGUACAGGACUUGUUUGGAACAAGCACAUGCUCUCUCCCCAUGGUCCUGCAUGGCUCCCUGAGGCCCUGGGUUCUCUACGGGCCAAGGUACGGAGGGUCCUGCCCAAACUGGGGGAGCUCUGGUCGCUCCCUGGGUGGUUGGCUGAUGGCUUUUUAAUUGGACCCAAGUCUGUUGACAUAAAGAAAGAGUCAACAACCAUCCCAUUUGGAGGGGGCGGAGGGCAAGAGACUUAUUUUGCAUUUUAAUGCUUCCAGGGAGCUCAUGUUAGUUUUCCCUCUUAAUUUUAUUUUCCUUUCUUGUUUGGGCAACCUUGAGAAGCUUAGAAAUGGUCUUAAGAGUCUUUAUAACAGUGAUUUUUUUCCAAGUUAAUUUUGUCAAGACCAGAGUUGUUCUAGUCUCACUCUGGUUGAUAAAUGACACCUGGUUUUAAUUGCAUGUUGUGGCCAAUUGAUUCAAGAUGACUGGUAAUGUUUGGAACAAUGAUGCCUAAUAUGAGUCUUGUUUUGACUAGUCAAAAGUAAUUCUUUUUUUUUUUUUUUUUCAAAAGUAAUUCUUGUGUGAGGUAGUGAGACCUUUUAACUGAGAUGAUGUUACAGGGAAUGUAUGCACUGGCCUGGAGACCUGUAUGAGGGGAUCUGGAGCCGGGCAGCUGGGGUGGCACCUUGCUGGAUAUCUCACCGCCUCCUCCUGGGUGGCACCUUGCUGGAUAUCAGUUUCCUCAUCUGUGAAAUGGGCCACUGGUACCCACCCUCUGCUGCUGUGAGGACCAAAUGAGAUGAUGUGUAUAAAGUGUUUAUCUAGGAGCAGGAGGCAGGCCCUUUAAAAUGUUAAAAUCACAGCCUCAAAUGCAAGCCAUUGUGCACAGAUGUCCAAGUGCAGAGCCCUUGCUGCGUGAGGCUCCCUGUGCAUUCCUGUAACUG